rnacentral:tRNA from 1 species
GGGCCAAUGAUCUAGCAUGGAUAGGGUGCUCGCCUUCGGAGCGAGAAAACGCAGGUUCGAAUCCUGCUUGGCCCA